rnacentral:rRNA from 1 species
AGAGUUUGAUCCUGGCUCAGGAUGAACGCUGGCGGCGUGCUUAACACAUGCAAGUCGAACGAUGAUCCGGUGCUUGCACCGGUGAUUAGUGGCGAACGGGUGAGUAACACGUGAGUAACCUGCCCUUGACUCUGGGAUAAGCCUGGGAAACUGGGUCUAAUACCGGAUAUGACCUUCCAUCGCAUGGUGGUUGGUGGAAAGCUUUUGUGGUUUUGGAUGGACUCGCGGCCUAUCAGCUUGUUGGUGAGGUAAUGGCUUACCAAGGCGACGACGGGUAGCCGGCCUGAGAGGGUGACCGGCCACACUGGGACUGAGACACGGCCCAGACUCCUACGGGAGGCAGCAGUGGGGAAUAUUGCACAAUGGGCGCAAGCCUGAUGCAGCGACGCCGCGUGAGGGAUGACGGCCUUCGGGUUGUAAACCUCUUUCAGUAGGGAAGAAGCGAAAGUGACGGUACCUGCAGAAGAAGCGCCGGCUAACUACGUGCCAGCAGCCGCGGUAAUACGUAGGGCGCAAGCGUUAUCCGGAAUUAUUGGGCGUAAAGAGCUCGUAGGCGGUUUGUCGCGUCUGCCGUGAAAGUCCGGGGCUCAACUCCGGAUCUGCGGUGGGUACGGGCAGACUAGAGUGAUGUAGGGGAGACUGGAAUUCCUGGUGUAGCGGUGAAAUGCGCAGAUAUCAGGAGGAACACCGAUGGCGAAGGCAGGUCUCUGGGCAUUACUGGACGCCUGAGGAGCGAAAGCAUGGGGAGCGAACAGGAUUAGAUACCCUGGUAGUCCAUGCCGUAAACGUUGGGGCACUAGGUGUGGGGGACAUUCCACGUUUUCCGCGCCGUAAGCUAACGCAUUAAGUGCCCCGCCUGGGGAGUACGGCCGCAAGGCUAAAACUCAAAGGAAUUGACGGGGGCCCGCACAAGCGGCGGAGCAUGCGGAUUAAUUCGAUGCAACGCGAAGAACCUUACCAAGGCUUGACAUGGACCGGACCGCCGCAGAAAUGUGGUUUCCCCUUUGGGGCUGGUUUACAGGUGGUGCAUGGUUGUCGUCAGCUCGUGUCGUGAGAUGUUGGGUUAAGUCCCGCAACGAGCGCAACCCUCGUUCUAUGUUGCCAGCACGUGAUGGUGGGG